GAAUCUUGAAUAAGUUUCCUUUUCGGUGAGGAAACGCCGUGGCAUUCGACUCGAUCUUGUCCAUCGCUCCACCGUAAGGGUUCCAUUGCAUAAACAUAUGGUUGGAUUUUAACAUUAUUUUCCAAAUCUUCUCCAUUCCUUCUUUUGGGAUCGGUUUCUUGACGUAAUCGGAUUUACUCUUGAAGAAUGCUCCUGGCUUUGAUGGUCUUUCCAAAAGAACGCUCGUCGAUGUUCCCACAGGAUAAUCCUGCCAAAACGUUGUUGUAUUAAGCCAGCUCAUCUCGUAGCAAUCUUCACGUUUUAGCCCUAAUUCAGGUAAAUUCUUGUUGAUAAUCCCCAUGAGAUCCUUCGCUGAGCCUAAAAACUGAGCGUAGAACACAACCACGAUGGUUUUAUUGCUUGAUGUCGCGUCAUUUACAUGUUGAGGCAUUGCCCUCGGGAAAAGCUCUUGAGGCAAUUUGCUAGAGACAAGCUGCCAUUUGUAGAGAACAUCAGUGGCUCCUUGCUCCAAUGUUUUGUUAACCUUAAAAACUGUCACGGUCUUUGGAACAUCGACGAGGUUGAUCUUCCAAGAGAGGAUAACACCGAAGCUUGCUCCACCACCGCCUUUAAUAGCCCACAAUAGAUCAUCUCCCAAGGUAGCUCCAGUCAAGAUUUUUCCGUUGACAUCAACUACUCGAGCGUCAACGACAUUAUCAACGGAGAUUCCAUAUUUUCUCAUAAGAUUUCCGUAUCCUCCGCCGCUGAUGUGUCCUCCAGCUCCUAACGUGUAGCAAACUCCUGCCACAACCGCUAGCGUUUGGCUAGCUUUUGAGACUUUGGUGUAGAGCUCUCCCAUUGUCGCACCAGCAUCAACCCAAGCUUGCUUUUUGGACACGUCAAUGGUGAUGGACCGGAGAUCGUGCAUGUCGAGAAUAACAAACGGUACGGACGAGAUGUAAGAUAGUCCCUCGUAGUCGUGACCGCCGCUUCGUAUACGGAUCUGGAUACUGUUUGACUUUGCACAGACCACAGUUGCCUGAGCAUGAGAUUCAUGUUUGGCAGCAACAAUGGCUAUAAGUUUUGUGUCCUUAGGGUUUGAGAGCCUUUUGUUUUUCGUGUAGGACACGUAAGAUGACACGAAUGUGGAGUUAUCGUGAGUGUAGAGGGCUUCGUUGAUCGGAUUCUCUGAACGGGUCCGGUUGUGAAGGCAUUGGACGAAGUUUUCAAUACUUGGUUUUGUUACUUUUGCAUCCGAAACCGAAACAAUAAG
rnacentral:lncRNA from 1 species